rnacentral:rRNA from 1 species
GACGAACGCUGGCGGCGUGCCUAAUACAUGCAAGUAGAACGCUGAAGAGAGGAGCUUGCUCUUCUUGGAUGAGUUGCGAACGGGUGAGUAACGCGUAGGUAACCUGCCUUGUAGCGGGGGAUAACUAUUGGAAACGAUAGCUAAUACCGCAUAACAAUGGAUGACACAUGUCAUUUAUUUGAAAGGGGCAAUUGCUCCACUACAAGAUGGACCUGCGUUGUAUUAGCUAGUAGGUGAGGUAAUGGCUCACUUAGGCGACGAUACAUAGCCGACCUGAGAGGGUGACAGGACACAUGGGGAAGGAGAGACGGGCCAGAGUCCUAGGGGGGGCAGAAGUGAGGAGUAUUGCACCAUGGGAGGAAGCCUGAUGCAGCAACGCAGGGUGCGGGAGGACGGCCUUCGGGUUGUAGAGCGCUUGCGCCUGUGAAGAAGCGUGAGUGACGGUAAUGGGUAAAGAAGAACAGGCUAACUACGUG